rnacentral:rRNA from 1 species
AGCGGUGAAACUCACGGGCUCAACCCGUGACCUGCCGUUGAUACUGGGGAGCUUGAAUACGGAUGARGSGGGAGGAAUGYMUGGUGUAGCGGUGAAAUGCUUAGAUAUCAUNNGGAACGCCUAWKGCGAAGGCAUCUCSCUGAUCCGUCAUUGACGCUGANGCACGAAAGCGUGGGGAUCAAACAGGAUUAGAUACCCUGGUAGUCCACGCCGUAAACGAUGAUAACUCGCUGCUGGGGCAAUUAAGCUUCAGUGGCUUAGCGAAAGCGUUAAGUUAUCCACCUGGGGAGUACGGUCGCAA